rnacentral:rRNA from 1 species
GACGAACGCUGGCGGCGUGCUUAACACAUGCAAGUCGAACGGAAAGGCUCCAGCUUGCUGGAGUACUCGAGUGGCGAACGGGUGAGUAACACGUGGGUAAUCUGCCCUGCACUCUGGGAUAAGCCUGGGAAACUGGGUCUAAUACUGGAUAUGACCUUUCUCCUUAUGGGGUUUGGUGGAAAGUUUUUCGGUGUAGGAUGAGCCCGCGGCCUAUCAGCUUGUUGGUGGGGUGAUGGCCUACCAAGGCGUCGACGGGUAGCCGGCCUGAGAGGGUGAUCGGCCACAUUGGGACUGAGAUACGGCCCAGACUCCUACGGGAGGCAGCAGUGGGGAAUAUUGCACAAUGGGCGGAAGCCUGAUGCAGCGACGCCGCGUGAGGGAUGACGGCCUUCGGGUUGUAAACCUCUUUCAGCAGGGACGAAGCGUAAGUGACGGUACCUGCAGAAGAAGCACCGGCUAACUAUGUG